AGAGCUAACAGAAACUGCACGGAGCAUGUUGUUCUCAAGACUAGCGGGAUAAUGGACACAAAAUUUUGACUUCUACUACUAUUCAAUUAUUGUGUAUUUACUGGUGGCUAAACAAGCGAUGUGAAACCCAGUAUAGCUAAUGGAAUAUGAAGUGUAGUGCAAAACAGUCCAGUCCUUCAAAUAAAGGUUAUCCCGUCAGAAGUCAA